GACGAACGCUGGCGGCGUGCUUAACACAUGCAAGUCGAACGGAAAGGCCCUGCUUUUGUGGGGUGCUCGAGUGGCGAACGGGUGAGUAACACGUGAGUAACCUGCCCUUGACUUUGGGAUAACUUCAGGAAACUGGGGCUAAUACCGGAUAGGAGCUCCUGCUGCAUGGUGGGGGUUGGAAAGUUUCGGCGGUUGGGGAUGGACUCGCGGCUUAUCAGCUUGUUGGUGGGGUAGUGGCUUACCAAGGCUUUGACGGGUAGCCGGCCUGAGAGGGUGACCGGCCACAUUGGGACUGAGAUACGGCCCAGACUCCUACGGGAGGCAGCAGUGGAGAAUAUUGCACAAUGGGCGGAAGCCUGAUGCAGCAACGCCGCGUGCGGGAUGACGGCCUUCGAGUUGUAAACCGCUUUCGCCUGUGACGAAGCGUGAGUGACGGUAAUGGGUAAAGAAGCACCGGCUAACUACGUG
rnacentral:rRNA from 1 species